rnacentral:rRNA from 1 species
GUUAGUGGCAGACGGGUGAGUAAUGCGUAGGAAUCUACCUAGUAGUAUGGAAUAGCCAUUAGAAAUGAUGGGUAAUACUGUAUAAUCCCUGCGGGGGAAAGAUUUAUCGCUAUUAGAUGAGCCUACGUUAGAUUAGCUAGUUGGUAAGGUAAUGGCUUACCAAGGCUAUGAUCUAUAGCUGGUCUGAGAGGACGAUCAGCCACACUGGAACUGAGAUACGGUCCAGACUCCUACGGGAGGCAGCAGUGGGGAAUAUUGGACAAUGGGCGAAAGCCUGAUCCAGCUAUGCCGCGUGAGUGAAGAAGGCCUUCGGGUUGUAAAACUCUUC